rnacentral:rRNA from 1 species
UACGUAGGGUGCAGGCGUUAAUCGGAAUUACUGGGCGUAAAGCGUGCGCAGGCGGUCUUUUAAGUCAGAUGUGAAAUCCCCGGGCUUAACCUGGGAACUGCAUUUGUGACUGCAUGGCUGGAGUGCGGCAGAGGGGGAUGGAAUUCCGCGUGUAGCAGUGAAAUGCGUAGAUAUGCGGAGGAACACCGAUGGCGAAGGCAAUCCCCUGGGCCAGCACUGACGCUCAUGCACGAAAGCGUGGGGAGCAAACAGG